UGGGGAAUCUUCCACAAUGGGCGAAAGCCUGAUGGAGCAACGCCGCGUGAGUGAUGAAGGCCUUCGGGUUGUAAAGCUCUGUUAUUCGGGACGAAAGAGCGCAUGGCUAAUAUCCAUGCGAAGUGACGGUACCGAAAGAGAAAGCCACGGCUAACUACGUGCCAACAGCCGCGGUAAUACGUAGGUGGCAAGCGUUGUCCGGAAUAUUGGGCGUAAAGCGCGCGCAGGCGGCCUUUUAAGUCCAUCUUAAAAGCGUGGGGCUCAACCCCAUGAGGGGAUGGAAACUGGGAGGCUGGAGUAUCGGA
rnacentral:rRNA from 1 species